UUAUGUGCUCCAUAGAGACACCCGGUGAACUAAGCCUGGCUUAUUUAACCUCCAGUUCAACUCCUGAGCAUCAAACAUCCUCCAGUCUGCAGAGCUGACUUUCCCACAUGGUCUCUACCUAUUAGUUAUAAUAACAAUGGUAACAGGAUGAAUACCUUCCAGACACACAAUACCUCACCAUUGGUGAAACCCCUUCCCGUGUAACUAUUUUAUUGGAUCCUCACCACCUUAUCCCCAUCUGACAGAAAGGAACUUGUGACUCAGAGGGGCAAAGCAACUUGCCUGAGGUCACACAGCCAAGAAGGGACUUGAGUUAAAUCCAAGUCUCCCAGGUCUAUAGCUACAGUUCUCUCCACUUCUGCCCCACAAAUAAAAAGAACUAUUAGUGCUGCUGCUCAACCCUUCAUCUGUUUUAAACACUACUAGUUAUUAUGUGGUAGAUACUGAGCUAAUCAUUUUACAUACAGUAUAUAGCUUAUUUCCCAAACAACCCUUCAAGGUAAGUAUUACUGCCCCAUUUUACAGCUAAAAACACUGAAGCUCAGAGGUGAAGAGACUUUCCCAAAACUGCCGUCGGUUUAGACAUCCUCUCCUCCCUGAUUCCUGCUGUUGACAGAGGAGGAUAACCGUGGCCAAAAGAUGUUGACGGUUUGCCUAAGAUUGCAGAACCUGCUAAAAGCAGAAGCAUUUUCAAGCACAGAAACACCCGGGGAAAUGUUCAUUCUUCCUUCAACAACUCUGAAAUCUCCUAAAACAUGCAGCCCACCGGGAGUGGCAAUGGAAAAAAGUCACAGGAAGAAAAUAAACCAAGAAGGAAAAGAUAACACACACAUCUCGUGUGGGCCUGCAGGAAGGAUGGGAGAAGCAGGGCAGGGAGAGGGAGAAGCACCAGCCAGCCUCAGUUCUUCCUUCGCUCAUCCCUCCCCCUUCUUUUCCCUUCCCUCCCCCCUUUCCUGCAUGCAGCAGCAAAUGUAUGAAUGCUUGGAUGGCUUGGCAAAACACUCUCCAAGAUUUAUUUCUGUUGGACAAUCUUGCAUUCUUUUUUUUUUCCCCCUGCUGACAACUCUGUCAACGGCAGGCUCCUCUGUGAGGCUGUGAAUUUGGAAAUCACGUACUUGAUACAGACAUUGUUGCAAUGAUACAAACCAGACUAAGAAAGUGGACUCCGGAGAUCAGGGAGACCUGCAGACCUACUUGGUUCAUUACCUGGGGGUCACCGAGACCUCAGGGCUUGGCGAAGAGACCAUCU